ACGUGGAUUAAUGCCUGAUAGUCUCUACGGAGUAAAUGGUGCCUUCGGGUAUCGCUAAAGGAUGGGCUCGCGGCCUAUCAGCUUGUUGGUGAGGUAAAGGCUCACCAAGGCGACGACGGGUAGCUGGUCUGAGAGGACGAUCAGCAACACUGGAACUGAGACACGGUCCAGACACCUACGGGUGGCAGCAGUCGAGAAUCAUUCACAAUGGAGGCAACUCUGAUGGUGCAACGCCGCGUGGAGGAUGACGGUCCUAGGAUUGUAAACUCCUGUCAUUGGGGAGUAAGACUUAAGCGUUAAGAGCGCUUAAGUUUGAUAGUACCCAAAGAGG
rnacentral:rRNA from 1 species